GAGAAGGGUCUUUUAUCUUUUUUCUCUUUUUUUGUCGUUUUUUAUGAAGAGGGAGAGAGACGUUGGAGUUUGUUAGUAGUGGGGGAGUUAGUGGAAUGUGAGUGGAUUCAGAGAGUGAUAAGUGGGGAAUUUGAAUUUAUUUUAUUAUUUAUUUAUUUUUAUUUUUUUUUUACAGGGAAUCCAAUGUAUAAUAUAUACACAAUUAUUAUUACAAAUCCUAAAAAACUAAUUAAUAUCUUAAGACUCUAAAUAUCAUUUUUUUUAAAAACUAACUAAUAACUUUUAAACUAACUACUAUUUAGAAAUUAACUAAUAAAAAACUAAUUACUAUUUAGAAAUUAAUAUUAAAAAAGCUAACUAAUAUAUUUUUUUUAAAAAAACUAACUAAUUAUUUUAAUUUAAAUAAUACAAUAAAGUAAAAACUAACUAAAAACUAAUUAAUAUUUUAAAAGAACUAACUAACUUAAUUAAGUAACUAA
rnacentral:lncRNA from 1 species